UACGUAGGGAGCAAGCGUUGCCCGGAUUUACUGGGUGUAAAGGGUGCGUAGGCGGCUUUACAAGUCAGGCGUGAAAUAUAUGGGCUUAACCCAUAGACUGCGUUUGAAACUGUAGAGCUUGAGUGAAGUAGAGGUAGGCGGAAUUCCCGGUGUAGCGGUGAAAUGCGUAGAGAUCGGGAGGAACACCAGUGGCGAAGGCGGCCUACUGGGCUUUAACUGACGCUGAGGCACGAAAGCAUGGGUAGCAAACAGGAUUAGAUACCCUGGUAGUCCAUGCCGUAAACGAUGAUUACUAGGUGUGGGGGGUCUGACCCCUUCCGUGCCGGAGUUAACACAAUAAGUAAUCCACCUGGGGAGUACGGCCGCAAGGUUGAA
rnacentral:rRNA from 1 species